UAUUAAAAAAUUAGAUGAAUGGAGAAUGUUUUUUUAUUACCCUAGGAUAAAGAAAGUCAGAGUGGGAUGGUGAUAGGGCUUCUCUUGAUCAAGCUUUCCUAGAUUACACUUAAAAAAAAAAGCAACAUAAUGAGGCUUGGGAGAUGGUGGUUUUCGAACCAAACCUCAAAAAAUUUUGAUGAUGGUGGAGUAGUUAAUUGACACCCCAGA
rnacentral:lncRNA from 1 species